CGACGCUACCCUGCAGCCUGCAUGCUCUGCAGCCAGAAGUGUGCACAAACUCAUGCACGCAGGUGCUGCUGGCACGGCACGGCACGGAGCAGCCCUGCAGUACACGCUGCUGAGCCGCUGCACCUUCCCCAGCACAUCCCGCUCUGGCACCAGUUCCCAAACUGGUAGGGCUGGGAAGGGUGCCUUUGGCGAUGGGUGCCAGGACGGCAGCGGCACCCGGCUCUCCCGCAGAGGGUCUCCAAUCUAGGAGCUGUAAAGUUAGCGUGCAAGUGGAACGAGGACUGCUCGAACAAGGCUGAAGAACAAGAAAAUCAGGCAGAGAAAAAGAAGCAUGCUUUCCCCUUACCUAUUGCCUCUGCUCAAACACCGGGCAGUGUCUUUAGAGAGCCCGGGCAUUUGGACCCACAGGGCAGAGGACUUUCGGCACGUGCACCCAGAGCCCGGCAAAAGCCAUCUUCUCCCUGUCUCUUAGCACAGUGCAAGCCUCCAGCAGCUCAGCUCUCCAGCUGCAAACAUCUCAUUAGACUAAUGCAUUCAGCACAGGCAGAAAACUCGAUUUACCAUAGCUACAGCAAUGAAUUUCCAUUACGAUGACAGCUUCAACCACAUCAUGUCCGGAAAACCAGCCAACCACUGCCUUUUAAAGAACACACACAUUUUACACGCAGAAAACGAGGGCCCGUGUGCCGUGUCUCCUUUCUCUUCCCGGCUAAACGGAGAAAAAAUUGCCAUGUCUGUAUAGUUCAGAGCUCUGCAAGCCAAAAGGUAAAGGCAGCCGGACUUUUUUUUCCCACAUAGCAGCAGCUUUCGCAGCAACGUGCGGUGCGGUGCAACGAGCAGAACGGGUGCUUGCAACAUUUCUACAUUUUACCUACCCCUCCUCUGUUGCCAUAGAAACCAGCCUGUAUCAUCAUCCCUUUGUCCCGAUCCUGCAGCAAUGUGGCCCAACACCGAGCUAACGCGAUGGGCAGGACCGGGCGCUCCAGUUUCGGACAAAUUAAACGCAAACUGGGGGAAAGGCGCUUGGGACCUUUUUGCCGGGAACACCAGGAGCGCGUGGGUACUGCAGUGCUCACACUCGCACAUCUGCACACACGUACACGGAGCCUGGAGCUCAAAGAUAUAUCUCACAGGGGAGUUACCAGUGACCCAUCACCACAGAUGGUGGGAUGAGCAAGCAGACGAGGAAGGAGGAGAGGAAAAGCAAGGCACCCUGACUCCUGGACCCUUCCCAUCAGUACCAGAGGAGGCUCUGGUUCUGGAGCCGUCCCCAGCUGCGGGGAGGAGGGCAUCCAUCCACCUGUGGGAUGGCCGAGUGCUUGGCUCUCUCUUAAAAGAGGAAAGCUUUGUACCCCUAAAGAUAAAAGAAUUGAGGUUUGGAGAAUCAAGGCAGCAUUUUUCUUUUUUGUUUCUUUUUUUGUUUGUUUCUGUUUUUGCUUUUGUUUGCAUUCAACAGAUAAUCUUAGGUGUGAAAAAUAUAUUAUCAGCAGAGAACUGGAACAACCAUUUUCUGUCUUCCUCUGCUGGUGUCUGAAACCUGUGGUGCUUGCAAAGGCACUAGGUAAGGAAGCACAGCUCAGCCUUCGUCCCGGCAAAGUUCUGCAAUCCCUCUUUCUUCCUCUUCUCUUUAUUUCCAAAAAAUCAGGGCCAGUGGGCCAGCACUCACAGAUUCCCCGAUAAGAAUAAAAUGGAAUGUGGCUGUCA
ensembl:lncRNA